CGACUGGUCGUGUUACCAGUUAUAUAAAAGUGGAUCUUUAUUUUGUGGAAAAGGAUUUUUCGAUAUGUGCAGCAUUUCGAAAUCGUAAACCAAUUUAAAAGUUGUUCGGAUUUUUUUCCUCACACGUUAAAAAGUGUCUUUUUCGAAACGAGCUAGUAGAGCGGCACGGAGAACCACGUAUAUGGUUACUUGGGAUUAGAUAACCAUCUUCAAUGUACAGCAAUUCAGUAGCUUCCGCUUUGUUAAGAUCUGUAAAGGCGCCGUCCACGUCCUCACUGUCGUAAGGGCGUUUUGGAAUAGUGGAACUUUUUUGCAUCCAAUAAGAUGUAUUCACACUUGUUUUGUCUGUCGGAGCACAAACGAUGUCACACUGAAAGAAAUCGGCACGACAUUAUAAAGUGUUUUGCACUUGAAUUCGCCCUACUGUACCUACGGGUCAAAACAUAUAUAAUUCAUAUGCGAAACACUUUAGAAUUAUUAGUUGUGCAACACCUCAUUUUCAAAAGGUAAACACUUUCUAUUCUCGUGUUAUGACAAAUAGACAUAAAGUGUUUGGAUUUUGAAUCUCAUAUGAAUUUUUACCGAACUUCGAGUGAUUUUUAUUCGAUUUUAAAAUAAAAACAGUUCUGCA